UUGGUAAAAGUGCUUGUGUCU
rnacentral:siRNA from 1 species